UUUAAGAAUUUAAGCUGCAUUACUGACACAUGUGCAAAUACAAUUACCUUGAAAAAAUGAAACUAUCUCCACUCCACACAAGGACCAAUUUCCUCUAGUGAGGACCUCAUUAAAGCCUCAGGAGCUGCCUUUCUGCUCUUUCCAACUAGAAACCAUAUGUACAGUGGUGCAUUCCUGCAUGUCCUCCUUGCAGAGAAUCCCUGAGCUUCCUCAGACCUCUACCCACUAGCAACUGACAUCAACGGGAUGAGAGAUGAAUUAAUUACAGGGGAAUAAGUUCCUAAUCCAAGGAGCACUCCUGGAUACUGCCUGUGCUUGAACAGAGGAGAACUUAGUGUCCCCAUUUACGAAAAUCAAACAUCUCCUUUCUCCAGCCGAGCAGUUCCCUUCCUCAGUCCUGGUCGCGAGACAAUGUUUUGGAAAAAAACAGUCACCAAUCCCUACUCUUGUCUAUUUUGGUGCCUAAACAAAGCUAAAUUUGGAAGGGAGAAAAGUUGACUUUUUUUUUUUUUUUUUUUUUUUUUGUACAUGCAGCGAGCUGAUGUAAAAGGAAGUAUCAGCAAAUUGCAAUUAGGGUGGAGUGGCUGGAGAAGACCAAAGGUGAUGGGUGGGUGGGGAUAGAAUCCCAAGGGCAUGGUGAGAGCUUUGAUAACACAGCUCUUGUCUGAGGCUGCAGGACAGCCAUGGAAGUGCCUUCAGAAGAGCCAGCUCACUGAGGACAACAUGGAUCUGAAAUGCAGCUCUUCCAUCUUUCAGCAGACAGGCUCCCUCUGAAGACAAACCCCUGAACAGAGAAACAGGAAAACAUCUCUCAAGGCAGAAGACCACCUUCAGCUCUGCAGUGGGUCUACAAGAGAGAUGGGCUUUUCUCCUGCUUUGGCCACAAAUGCCUUCAAACUCAGACAUUCCCAGGCAGCAGAAACACCCCCAGCCUGUGAUCACCGAGCAGGUGAAGACACCUGAAUAGGAAACAGCAACACUGAAACCCUGAGUGUGAACAGAAGGCUGAGAAAAGCACUGGACUGAUGGGAAAAAACAACACUCAGGUGAUGAGAGAAGGAAGUGAUCCAGCCACAGUGCGGGAUCAGUCCCGCUGGAGCUUUAUCUCAAGAGCCUUUUGUGCCCUCAAGAAACAUCCGCCCUUGCUUAUCUUAAACAAAUGGCUGCAGAAGGCCUGAACUGAACAAACAGGUUAUUAGGCCUGAGAAAUUCCCAUGGCUCUGGUCUGUUACCCACAUGGGGAAUUUUUCACAUCUUGGAAGAAGAGAGCUGAGGCACAAACCAAAACCUUGACCUGGUCUGGAGGCCAUGGAAGGACACCAAACACUGUCAGGAAGCCACACAGAAAUUAUUUCCUCUCUGUUAAAAUACAUCCUGCAGACCUCCGUGAGCCACAGGCUACUUUGAGCAGCAAAAUGGGGAUGAGUAAGAAAGGCAUGUUUGCAGCUGCUUUACAGCAGUGUCCAAAUGUAACAAUGGAAAUGGAUCUGGCA